AUGAACGCUAGCUACAGGCUUAACACAUGCAAGUCGAGGGGCAGCAUGGUCUUAGCUUGCUAAGGCCGAUGGCGACCGGCGCACGGGUGAGUAACACGUAUCCAACCUGCCGUCUACUCUUGGACAGCCUUCUGAAAGGAAGAUUAAUACAAGAUGGCAUCAUGAGUCCACAUGUUCACAUGAUUAAAGGUAUUCCGGUAGACGAUGGGGAUGCGUUCCAUUAGAUAGUAGGCGGGGUAACGGCCCACCUAGUCUUCGAUGGAUAGGGGUUCUGAGAGGAAGGUCCCCCACAUUGGAACUGAGACACGGUCCAAACUCCUACGGGAGGCAGCAGUGAGGAAUAUUGGUCAAUGGGCGAGAGCCUGAACCAGCCAAGUAGCGUGAAGGAUGACUGCCCUAUGGGUUGUAAACUUCUUUUAUAAAGGAAUAAAGUCGGGUAUGCAUACCCGUUUGCAUGUACUUUAUGAAUAAGGAUCGGCUAACUCCGUGCCAGCAGCCGCGGUAAUACGGAGGAUCCGAGCGUUAUCCGGAUUUAUUGGGUUUAAAGGGAGCGUAGAUGGAUGUUUAAGUCAGUUGUGAAAGUUUGCGGCUCAACCGUAAAAUUGCAGUUGAUACUGGAUAUCUUGAGUGCAGUUGAGGCAGGCGGAAUUCGUGGUGUAGCGGUGAAAUGCUUAGAUAUCACGAAGAACUCCGAUUGCGAAGGCAGCCUGCUAAGCUGCAACUGACAUUGAGGCUCGAAAGUGUGGGUAUCAAACAGGAUUAGAUACCCUGGUAGUCCACACGGUAAACGAUGAAUACUCGCUGUUUGCGAUAUACGGCAAGCGGCCAAGCGAAAGCGUUAAGUAUUCCACCUGGGGAGUACGCCGGCAACGGUGAAACUCAAAGGAAUUGACGGGGGCCCGCACAAGCGGAGGAACAUGUGGUUUAAUUCGAUGAUACGCGAGGAACCUUACCCGGGCUUAAAUUGCAGAUGAAUUACGGUGAAAGCCGUAAGCCGCAAGGCAUCUGUGAAGGUGCUGCAUGGUUGUCGUCAGCUCGUGCCGUGAGGUGUCGGCUUAAGUGCCAUAACGAGCGCAACCCUUGUUGUCAGUUACUAACAGGUUCUGCUGAGGACUCUGACAAGACUGCCAUCGUAAGAUGUGAGGAAGGUGGGGAUGACGUCAAAUCAGCACGGCCCUUACGUCCGGGGCUACACACGUGUUACAAUGGGGGGUACAGAGGGCCGCUACCACGCGAGUGGAUGCCAAUCCCCAAAACCUCUCUCAGUUCGGACUGGAGUCUGCAACCCGACUCCACGAAGCUGGAUUCGCUAGUAAUCGCGCAUCAGCCACGGCGCGGUGAAUACGUUCCCGGGCCUUGUACACACCGCCCGUCAAGCCAUGGGAGCCGGGGGUACCUGAAGUGCGUAACCGCGAGGAGCGCCCUAGGGUAAAACUGGUGACUGGGGCU
rnacentral:rRNA from 1 species